rnacentral:rRNA from 1 species
AUGAACGCUGGCGGCGUGCCUAAUACAUGCAAGUCGAGCGAACAGAUGAGGAGCUUGCUCCUCUGACGUUAGCGGCGGACGGGUGAGUAACACGUGGAUAACCUACCUAUAAGACUGGGAUAACUUCGGGAAACCGGAGCUAAUACCGGAUAAUAUAUUGAACCGCAUGGUUCAAUAGUGAAAGACGGUUUUGCUGUCACUUAUAGAUGGAUCCGCGCCGCAUUAGCUAGUUGGUAAGGUAACGGCUUACCAAGGCAACGAUGCGUAGCCGACCUGAGAGGGUGAUCGGCCACACUGGAACUGAGACACGGUCCAGACUCCUACGGGAGGCAGCAGUAGGGAAUCUUCCGCAAUGGGCGAAAGCCUGACGGAGCAACGACGCGUGAGUGAUGAAGGUCUUCGGAUCGUAAAACUCUGUUAUUAGGGAAGAACAAAUGUGUAAGUAACUAUGCACGUCUUGACGGUACCUAAUCAGAAAGCCACGGCUAACUACGUG